rnacentral:ncRNA from 1 species
ACACACACACACACACACACACACACACACACACACACACAUAUAAGAAGUUGCAAAUGGACGGGGAUUCGUUUAGAUUUAUUAAAAAAAAUUUAGGACUUGUAUGCAAGCCGUGAGUCCGCCCUAUCAACUGUCGAUGACCCGGUAAGCGCCGACCGUAGUGGAAACGGAUAACGGGGAAUCAGGGUUCAAUUCCGGAGAGGGAGCAUGCGAAACGGCUACUACAUCCAAGGAAGGCAGAUGGCGUGCAAGUUACCCACUCCCGACACGGGAAGGUAGUAAUGAAAAAUAACGACGCGGGAUUCUGUCGAGUCUCCGCGAUCGGUAUGAAAACACUCCAAAUCCGUUAACGAGGAUCGACCGGAGGGCAGGUCUGGUGCCAGCAGCCAUGGUAAUUUCAGCACCGGUAGCACGUAGUAAAACUGUUGUGUUUGAAAAGCUUGUAGUAGGAAUUCGGGUCUCGAAAACGUGUCUCAGUAAGUUCAGAGUGACGGAGUUGUCGCGGGCGCGCGCAUGUACUUCAGUCGUCCGUUCGCACUCCCGGCCCCUAUUCGCCGGUGCGUGCAUGGUCGUGCAGCGCUGCUCUGCGCACAUCGCCGCGGCAUCGGCCGUCCUGCUCUGUCUUCGCUCGUCCGGUUUCACGCUCACGCGGCGUCGCGGAUUCGCUUCACUGCCGUCACGCAGAUCGAUCGGGAGUCACGAAGGAGGUGCCGUCGGGUAUCGCCAUCUACGUUGCGGUAGCGACUCUACCACCCGGUCAUUUUGGCCCGCUUGGUUAUCCCGUGGGUGCUCUUCACCGAGUGUCUGAGGCGGCCGGUACAUUCACUAUAAAAAAAUUAAAGUGCUCAGAGCGAGCCCCCCGGCUUGCAUAUAAUUCUUUAAAAAAAUUUUUUUAAUCUAAAUGAAUCCCAGUUCAUUUUCAACUUCUUUUUGCUAUAUUUCUACUCGUGUGGAAUAAAAUAACUUUGUUUUCUAUAUAUAUAUAUAUAUAUAUAUAUAUACACUUAUAGAUACAUUACGUAUAGACAGAAAGAUAAACGAAAAUAUGCAUGUGUGGGUAUAUGUACAUAUAUAAACAUACAUUCACACUCACACACAUAUGUAUAUGGGUGGUGGCAUGUUUUGUUGAUUGAAGGAUCUACACCGGAAAUAAUAUUUACAAUGCUGAGAACCAGAUGAGUA